UGUGUUUGCGUUUGCGGCCAUCGGGACAGUGCUGCCUCGCCAGGCUGGGACUUGUCUAAUACAGCGACGGACCUUGGUAUGUACCUAAAACAACUUGCUCAUGUUGUUCUUUCUCUAUUCUUGCCGGUUCUAGUUAGCUCGAGCUCAUGCUGUUCUAUCUGUAUUCUUCAUUCUGUUUCGUGUACAUGGAUACGACUGUAGUUGGGCGACGAAGAAGAGGCUCGAGUAGUUGGGCUAGUGAAAAUAUACAAGAGGGUAUCCAUUUAGAAAUUAUGAGAGAAAUGGGUCAAAAAUGUCCGAAAUUAUGGGUGUUGUUCUUUCUCUGUUCUUGCCGGUUCUAGUUAGAUGGAGCUCAUGAUGUUCUAUCUGUAUUAUUCAUUCUGUUUUGUGUACAUGGAUACGAGUUUAGUUGGGCGACGGAGAAGAGGCUCGAGUAGUUGGGCUAGUGAAAAUAUACAUGACGGUAUCCACUUAGAAAUUAUGGGAGAAAUGGGCCGAAAAUGUCCGAAAUUAUGGGUGUUAUUCUUUCUCUGUUCUUGCCGGUUCUAGCUAGCUGUAGCUCAUGCUGUUCUAUCAGUAUUCUUCAUUCUGUUUUGUGUACAUGGAUACGAGUGUAGUUGGGCGACGAAGAAGAGGCUCGAGUAGUUGGGCUAGUGAAAAUAUACAUGACGGUAUACACUUGUAAAUUAUGGGAGAAAUGGGCCGAAAAUGUCCGACAUUAUGGGCCGAAAAGUACUAAGAAUAAAACCUUUUUUUGCUUUAUAAAUAAACUCUGUGUAUCCAGAAUAAUACGUUUUUGCUCUAUAAAUAAACUCGAGAACAAAUGAAUAACCACACUUAUACAUCUCUGAUUUUUGUUGAUAGGAUUGUGGACUUGUAUUGAACAAAUCAUGGAUAUACCAGAAUUGUCAGAUGAGGAGUUUGAACGCAGUGAUGGCAGCUGUCCGACAUCCAGGUGCUCCACCAAACUCGUAUUCAAGGUCAUAUCCUCCUUUGUUGAUUUCAAAAGGAAAAUUGUUACCGAAAUGGGGUUUGAAGGUUUACUAAAAUUUCCCUUGCUGAACAAAUUGAACUUGAAGUUUUCAGUGUGGUUACUGAGCAAAAUUGAUGAGAUUAGACAUAUGAUAAUUAUAGAUGAAAGUAGGCAGUACAAAAUGAGCCCUAAAGAUGUGAACAACGUUUUCGGCAUCCCAUGCUCGGGAAGGAGGGUCCUAGAAAAGAUUUCUGAUGGCAAGCAGGGCAUAGUUUAUUUGAUUAGGAAGCGUUUAGGCAUGGAGAAGAAGGAUGGUCAUAGCCUCAAGGCUGCACAAAAAAUACUAGAGAAGCAGUAUAGGAACCCAAUGUCACAAGAGGAAAUAAAAGUGUUCAAGACAGCUUUUAUCAUCUUCAUAGUUGGGCAUCUACUUGCACCUACUAGCAAGCACGAUUACGGCACCUUUGCGUAUUGGCACGCACUAGAAAACACCGAUGACUUACAGUGUUGGAACUGGGGAGAAUUUGUCCUCGAUGCACUUUGUCAAGCAGCAACGAGGAUAAAGAAUGAGUUGAGCAAUGGGAGCAACAUAAGCUACAUAAUAGGAUGUACAUUGUUCUUACAGGUACGGGUUAACAAUGCUAUCCACAUAACAUUUUUCUUUCGAACGGAUAGUUCAGUACAUUUAACUAAUACUUGUUUUUUCAGGUUUUCUAUCUGGACAAUGCCGACCUUGGACCGAUGAACAUGGACCAUGGUAUUCUUCCAAGGAUAUCAGUAUUCAACAAUGAUAUACUGAAAAACAUGAUUCAGUCUGACAUGAAAGUAAUGGGCGAAAGAUUUGAGGCUACAUUCGGCAAAUCAUUGGUUAGUUAUCACUCUCUCGAAUUGGCAAUUUAGCUUGGGGUUAACAUCCCUCUAACUUCACCGUAUGAACAAAGUGCAGCCAAGAAGCAGUGUUAACCGUACCACUGAUGGAGAAAUUUGGACCGCAGCCUGCAAACUUGCAGAAGAUAUGAGGUUACCGAUAAUGGUAUGACUACAAAGUUUUUUCUUUAAUACACUGAUAAAGUACAGUCAUUUUUUGGUAUGAUUAAUUGUCAUUUCAUUUUUCGAGCAGUGCGGUGCUGGUAUUUACAGAGAGCUAAUGACCCAUAAUUAGUGUUGUGUUGAGAGGUUAAAUAAAAUAGUUGAGUAUGAGACAGUGCAGCUAAUUGGUAAGUUAGGAGCUAUAGGAAGACAAUGGAGGCAUGUAGAUAGCUCAACUAAAGAUGGAACUCUACACGACACUUACGAGCAAGAUAGGGAUGCAGGAAGAAACAGAAACAAAUCAAACAACAGCGGCUCCUUGAGCACAAGUAAGUUUUCAAGCUUCUUAAUUUUUUUCCGCCUAGCUAGACAGAAAUAACUAUGAUGAUGAAUGAACACUCCAUUUUCAUAUGUGCAGGAGACAGCAAGCAAAGAGGUAAAAGGGUUGACUCUUUUUCUCAAUUCUUGUCGUCUUGUUCGCCAAAUGGGUCGACCAAAAAGACACGACUUUUUGAGAAUGACGACCAGAGACGGCUUAUUGAAGACUGCCCAAGUUUCAGUUUGGGAAUUGAUUUUGACAGCCCGGUUUCAAGGAAGAAUAAUGAUGCAGAUAACAUAAUCGGAAUGACAACACCUGAACCUACAGUGGGAGGAGCAAUGUCAAUUAGCCAAAUUUCACCUCCUUGAUCAAGGAGAAGCCCAUCAACAAAUAACAUGCUGAAACAACAAAUGUAUGUGUACGAAAGAGACACUAGAUUCAUGGACACGGUGAAUCUAAACGUGAGGACUCUGGAGUUUGACAUCAGCUCUUCACCAUUCGUCAAAAGAAGGGCUAGAUUGUUAAGUACGAACCAGCAACAAUGUCAACCGGCACACAUAUGGCAUUAUCAACUCGAUAUAUGCAAGAAAUUCAAAAAAUGGUUGCAAAACGUCAACGACAAAAACACAUGUGAAAGGUAAAUAAGUUCUCCGUGCAUACAUUGAUUUUUGGACAAGAGGUAAACCAUGUCAAAUGAACUUUUUAUUUUUGAUUCAUUGAUAUUCACUAUUUUAAUUCGGCAUGCAGCUUGUGGAUUAUGCACUACAACCCGAGGUAUAUCGAGAUCUCCGCUGCCACAGUAAAGAGACACCUGUGCAUGUUCGAGGACAUGGACCAUGAUUUCUUUGACAUUGUAAUAAGAAGAUUCAAACAAUAUGACGAGGAAAGGACAAAAGAACCUCACUCUUCCAUUGUGAAACACUUUAUGGAAUCAGACGUUGCGGUACCUAAUCACCUCAACUGAAAAACAUUUUUUUCAAUUUUUUUGUCUUGUACAACUUUGAGGCUAUGACCAUCAUUACGACAGCAUAUAAUAAAUUAAUCAUCUUUUGUUUUUUGUGUUUCAGACAUGCAUAAUGGCUCAGCAUUCAACAUCAGCAUUUAGCAGUAAGGGAACAGUUCAUCGGACCACAUGUAAAACACGACCUGCCGAAUUGCAACCUGGUACGUACUUUAACCAUUUUAUAUUGAUGAUAAGCUCAGACAUGAACAGAUAAUAAACAUUAUUUUUUCCCUCGAAGAUGCUACUUCCAGGGAAGGUCAAUUUCACAUGGGUGUGCUACGCUUUUGAAUUUAACAAGUCAAGGAUAACUGUAUUUGACCCAACAAUAUCCAUGGAUGGCGGUAGCUCAUUGCCAGAGCUACAUAUGAAGAUAAGCACCCAGAUGAAGACGUCCCUGAAGCAAUGCGCCACAGAUUUUUUUGAGAACUGGCAGUAUGAUUGGGAAAGCAUGUCAGUCCACAUAUUUCAAUGCAAGACAACAACUACACUCAGGUAAAGGAUUGCUUGAAAUUUUUUGUUACAUUUCUUAACCAUACCUCAUCUCUAUGAUGGAACAAUUUGUUUUACAUGUACCAGAAACUGCACGGGGCUAGCAACGCUGAUGUUUUGCAGAUACUUUGAAGGAGAUAAUGACAUAUUCCCAGAGGUUUGUGUCGCAUAAUUAUUUAAAUUAGAAGAGUGGUACAUGUCAUUAUUGUUAAUUUUGACGAUGUGUACUUUUUUUGACACAGCUACAAGGUGAUGCAAACGAGUUCGCGUCUUUCAUACUCUACGACAUUCUUCAUCUCCGGGGAAACAGCGGUUAUCUUCCUAAGGAGUUCGUUCAGACGGUUAGCGAUUAACCAGCAGCGAAACUAAUAUCGAUGUUCGCUAAAGCGGCAAAAUGUGUUUGUUUGAGGCCAAAUAGAACCUUCAUUCCCGUGGUGUUCAACUUGUAAUUCACUGAUAAUUUAAGUAGCAGUCGUGUAUGUAAUUUGGAUAAUUUCCAUAAUUCAGUUAAGAAGUUUUUAUGGCUAUCACUUCAAUGUAUAAGGCUUCACACACCAGAUUCUCGGCUGUAUAUAUGAAAGGGGUUGCGCGCAGGCGGUGGUCCGCCCUGGAACCAUGCGAGAUUUGCAGAAAAUCUAAGAAACGUACGGCCACAUCAUAAAAAUUGAUAUUUUUGCUAUAAUGUUGAUUACAACCCAGCGCAAUGUCAACAAGCCUAGAAUGAUUGCGAAAAGUAACAACCCUAUUUCGAUUUUUUUGGUCAUGGCCAACGCUAACUGCCUGUAUGUUGAUGGUGUUUUUCACAUUAGUUUUUAUACGUAUGUAUAUAAAUAUACUCAUUUCAAUUCUAUGAACGCGUCCUCAAUUGAUGGUCUAAAGACAACAAACAUCGACUAUGGAUUUGUCUUGUGUUAUGUUUUUCGAUGUUGUAGUUUUAGAUUGCAAGCAAAAGUGUUGUCAAAGGGGCCACUUAGAAAGAUCGACAAAAUCAUUCGGGCCCUCAUCUGGCGAAAAGAGGAACAAUCUCAGACCUCGGGAGGUAACUCCCUUGUUAACUGGAAGACCGUCUGCCGCCCAAGGCACUUGGGCGGUCUUGGGAUCAUGGACCUGGAGGGUUUUAGCCGUGCCCUACGCCUCUGGUGGUCGUGGCUGCAAUGGACUGACCCAGAAAGGCCAUGGGUAGGAUUGGAGCUCCCGUGUGACCAAACAGACAUGAUCAUCUUUCGCGCGUGUACCUCGAUUACGCUGGGAAAUGGGCAUCAAGCGCCGCGCCCAGCCGCUAGAUCUGGCCCGCGCCAUACCCUACGAGCGGGGGACGAAGGAGCCCCGCUGCCGCCAGCGACGCACCGGCUUUGCCCGGCCGCGCCCCUUGGCGGCGGCGAGGGCGGAGGCUGGGGGUGCGGCGACGGGGAUCUGGAACCCUCCCCGACGCCUCGCGGAUGGCGACGGGGGAGGGAGGGGAGGAAGUCUGGUUGGGCUGAUGAGUCUAAAAAAAGGGUACUUGGCAAUGUGAUACAUAGCUUAUUGUAAGAAUUAAAUCUUUGGCUAUUGAACUGAUCUUAUAUUUUUUUCUUUUUCUACGGGCAUUACAGACAUUCUUUUUUGUGAAGAUUAAUUCCUUUUUUGUAUAAACAUAGAUGUGUGACCGAUAUUGAUCUGUAAUGAAACGUCUGCGGAUGCGAAGGAUUUUUUUUUUGCGAUAAGCGAAGGAUUAUACUUACCUAAUUACUUUCCCUAUAAAAAUACAGUACUUUGCCAAUGACUUUUUUCUUUUUUUUACUAUGUUGUAAAGUACUUUUCUGAGCUAACGUUGUCUUUGUAGGCCCUUUUCGCACUGUACAUUUGAUAAAUGCCCGAGGUGAAGGAAUCGCGCGCGACUUGGACACCAUGCAUAAGAUAGUGGAAUCCUAUGCCGUUUUUUUUACUGUUCCAACGCUGAAUAUAAGGUUCAGGGCUGCAAUAGUUCUUCUCCACACACAGAACCUCAUACCCUGAAAGCUGCUCCUCAUUCCAUCUGGUACUAGAUAGUAUCUCUACUCCUUCACCACCGCAGCCAUGAGUCACUCCAUGCCGCAUAGGGCUCCCGGCGGUGAACGGGCGCCGUUCGUCUGCCCCUAUUGCUCUGCGGAGGUGUACGUCUACCGGUCAAACACCUCUCACAAUCCAAAUAGAUAUUUUUUUCAAGUGUGUGAACCAUCCGGUAAGUACAAAACUUUCGAAUCUGAAAAAAUAAUUCCAGCGUGGCUGAUCUUGAUAAUCAAGUGCCAAUGUCGCAGGAUUGCCCUUUCUGGCGUUGGGCCGAUGAGUACAAUCCAGCUCCACCCCCAGCACCACACUUCGCAGGCAACGUUCUGCGUACUGCCGGACAAGGAGCGGAACUCGUCGGCAUGGUCGAGCUUCUUCGCAUGUUGAACUUGUCACUGUGGAUAGUUCUCGCCAUUGUGUUGUCAUAUCUAGUGUUAAAGUCUUAGAUGUGGGCGAGCCAAUGUGAUGGUCAUAUGUACCCCCUUCAUUCACUUUCAUUAGCGUUGUUGUACCCGCCUGCCUCAUCUGACCUAGAAAUUUAUGUUUUGCAUGUCCUUAUUCCACCCCAAUUCUCCUGUACCCGCUUCGACUUAUAUUUUUAAUUCAAGCAUGUUUUAUUAGUUAAUCACAUGAAAUGCACAAUUAUUGUUCAGUAAAGAAGCAAUAAAAAAACAGCAUAAUGGAAGCAAUUCUGAAUAAUGAAAAUACCAGGGUAAUUUAAAACAUUGGUAAUACAGGGAUCGUCACAUAUGGAUCAAUAAUGCAACAGCCUGACGUUCUUAAACAAACUACAAUAAUCCUAACCUUAAAUUAUUAAGGAGAUCGAUCGAAUGCUUCGUGAAAGUUUCAGAAAACAAUUUUGGGAAGCAUGAUCAGAAGACGACAACAGUACUAGCUAGCACCCAUUGCGAAUACUACUACAUUAAGGGCAGCUCACAUGCUUCACCCCAAAGAAAGAUAAUUCUUUUCUCAAAUCGCCUUGAAAUGGUCCUUGUCCACCGUUGUAUAAAUUUCUCCAAUCUCAAGCAAUAUGGCCAAGGCCUCCCUGCAACGUAAGAUCGCAGAAUUAAUAAAUUUUAUUCAUUUCAAAACAAGUAAAUUGUCAAUUAGAAAAAAGUAAAUAUAUAACUAUUUUACCUCGCCACAGGCUCCUCUAUUUUAAGCGUCUCUAAGAUGUAACCGAUAGGUGUACCUUUCUCCCCAUCGCUGCAAGACAACAUAUAUUGUCAAUAAUACACCUCGCAAUUAAACGACCAGGGCUCGCGGUAAAAGAAUAUACCUAUGCUCAAACUCCUUUAUGGUUUCAACCACGUUGACAAUGUCAUCAGAUGUUGGUUUUUUAGUAGACGCACGAGCGUUAGCUGCGUCAGUCUGCCAACAAAAUAAACCUAUAUAUUAGUAUAAGAGAUAAAGUAGAGAUUAUACUCAAAGCAACUCCAAUGUAUAAAGAUUAAUCUUGCCUUUGAAAUCUGCAGGUGCUCAUAUAUAGCUUGGAGGAAAUGGUGGGUGAUGUCAUUGUAGUUUGUCACUUUACUGGCGAUUUUUUUUAAAUACAACCAUGGAAAAAUCAGCGUAAAAAUAUCGAGUAAACAAAAAAUGAAGUUAUAAUCAUACUUACUGUAUGUUAUAAAUACAUAUAUGUGGCCCAUCGCUCAUCAUAUUAGGCCUUCCACUCACUUUGACAUAGUCAUGGUCCCUGUGUAGUGGAGAGUUCUUAUGCAGGUGUGUUAUACAUAAAAAAUUGACAUUAUUUAGUUCAGACUUUUUUAUUCACCUUAAAUUCUUUAUGGCUGCCUCUUCCACUGGCGAAGAUAACUUGAACAGGAAGUAAGAAAAAAAUCAUAUAAAAACCUGAGCAUAAAAGGUAUUUUUUUGCGAUCAUAAUCUCCAAAAGGAAGUAAUAGAAAUUAUUUUUUGUUGUAGGAGAACAAUUUUUUCGACUAGCUUUUAGAACCCCCACCAUAAUUUUGCUUUGACACGUCCCGUGCCGUCAUCUAGCACACAGCUGAACUGGUACGCGUCUGAUUUGCUUCUUAAUAGCCGCGCACAUAGUCGUACCUGAGUAAGACAAAAACCAUUCAGACCAUAAAUAAUUGAAAUCAGUUUUUAGCAUAAUCGUAUGAACCAUUUAGUUAGCUAAUAGGCAGUAUCUAACCAUGCUUGGGCGGCGAUUGUUUAUGACAGGGUCAUCUCCGUGCGCAGCUCCCUUCACCCCGUCCCAAAUCUGCUUCACUGUCACAGAGAGGAUGAUGUCGUCCCUAUAAUCCUACAUCAAUAUCAUGUAGUGUUAGUAGGAUAAUUUUACCAUGCGUAAAUAUUAUUUUUUUCAACAUAUUUAGAUUUUUACCUUUGCCACAUACAGUGGCGAGCUGUCACGUUUCUGACGCUGGGUCUCCUCUAUCUUAGGCUCGAACACCUCCUUCCCUGCACGCUUCGCUGGUUCCGACAUGUUCUUAGUUUUCUUUCCCCUCCAUUUUGAGCUUUGAGACCCUCAUCCCCGCCAGUUUUUAUAGUGCUGCAUCCCUCACUGGUCCCAUGCAACAUUAGUAAAAUGACCCUCUACGUGAUUGGUUGAAUGAGUCGGUGUGAGUAAAUGAGCUCCUGACAUCAGGGUGUGAACAUUUUUCUUUCAACAUUUGUUUUAUUCGGCGGCACGUUGAAUGUGAUGUGCCACGACGGUACUUCCAUAUACGUACCGUCCACAUUCGUACCGUGCACCAUUGUAACGCCGCUGCAGUAGUACAGUUGGAUGAAAGUUGUAUCGCUACGCCGCUACAAUCUAUAGUCAACUUCUUGACGACCGUGCCGGUACUGUUCCAGCCUGCUCAUACGAGCGCGCAGGCCAAGGCUGAGCCAGUAAGCAUAAUGUAGCUCGAUACCCUUUGCCAAGAAGCUGCCGCUCCCGCUGGCCAUUCAACGCUUAAAUCGUGUUGAAGGCUAUGCAACCUAUCAGUAUGUGAUAUGUCCUAUGGUACACAUCUCAACAAUCGUCUCAGCUUUAUACUGAGCCAUGCUUACUAAAGUAGUGCCUCGUUCUACCCGAGUAGUGCAUGUGAUAGGCACGUAGGGUACACCUCUCAACAAACGUCCCAGCUUUAUAGCGAACCAAGGCUCAUAUAAAAUAAUCAUUGUACCGAAGUUUUGCAUGGCCACCCGUACCUGCAUGCGUCCAAAUUAAAAACAGGUUUUGCCAAUGCCUUGAGUCGGUGGUGGUUUUUCGCAUUCGCGUUUAUGUUUCCUCGACCGUGCAAAAUGGUUAAUCGAACUAAAUUUAAUUAUUUAACCAAACAAUUAUCCAAUACAGGCCAGAACACCUGCCAACAAAUGUAGUGACAGCUUUUUUUUUCUGCAUUCUUGUUAUCGAAUCUGUUCACAGAAACGAAUAAAGAUUUAAUUUCUAAUUCUAAUGGGGCACGGACAUUAAUUCACUGUAAAACAGAUGUUUAACGAUUGUGGGAAAAGGAAAAAAAAUAUGCCAUGCUUGACCUCAGUUGGUGUGGGUGUAGUUCUUGGUACUGAGCAUUGAGAAGCGGUCACAUUCAAUGUAAAAAAAAGUAUAGUUGACUUCAGUGGAUAGGAAUACAACCGACUAUUAUUUAAAAUUUUUGAAACAAGUCUCAUCACCCUAUAUAUAGAGGAGUGCUCAAACAUAUGCCAUAAAACAUGUGGCACAAAUAGUGGUUUAGAUGGACGCCGGCGGCAGCGGCGCAACAUGCAUCAAUACACAUACCCACGGCGAUGAAUCAUGUGCCUGCGUGCACCCUGGGUGUGGCUUCGCCGCCCCACCACUGGCUCUCGUCCAGCACUUCACCAGCAGCCACUCCAUGACAAUAACCAAGGUGAACUACGGCAAGGUAAUCGAGCUCCAUGUGCCGGCGUUGUUGGAUCCUCCUUACUUGCUGCUCGCCGAUGAUGACAGCCGAGCGUUCCUCCUUGUGGGUGGAGUGCACGGUCUUGGUGCGGUGGUGUCAAUGGUGUGCCUCAGGUCGCCGGACUCGCUUUGGCCGCAGUACAGGGCGAGUAUUGGGUCGCACACCACCCCUGAUAAUGCCUGGAAGGGUGUCUCUAUGAUGGCAGACAUGGAAGUGACAAGCAGCACGUGCCCUGGAGACGUCAAAGUUGAGGAUCUCACAUACCUGGAGCUGCCUCCCAAGAUGCUCGUUCAUGCGGCAGGGGAUAAGAUGAUGGCUCUGUAAAUUUGUAUAGAGAAGAUAACUACUGAUGCGUGUCCCAUAGAUCAGUAGUUCCCUUUAUUGUGUGAAAUGGCUAUCAUUUGUAGUUGCUGAUGAGAUGUCCAGUAUUAGGUGUGGUGUUUAGUGUGGUAUGCUUUGCAUCCGUUUUUAAUCUUAACUUUCUGCUGGAACCGUUUUUUAAUUUUUACUUGCUGCCGUAUGCUUUUGCAUAUUUUCUCAGCGAUGCACUAUACCGAUUUUUACAAAUAACUUUUAAUAAUAUGUACGUCACAUAGGAAGAAAUCACCCCCACCAUGAUAUAUUAUGAACACACAUGUCUCUUUUUGUGUGUCUUAAGCCAUGAAAGACGAAGAGGGAGGACAAAAACUCAGCCGUCUCAAAGGAUUGUGCAUCUAGAGCUCUAUGCUGAUGGGCAUUAGCGGAUCGUCUUGCUGGCGAGGCGGUUCGCGAGUGGACUAAAUUAUGUGCUGCUCAUGUGGCUUGACAACAGGCGGACUGGUGGCGGGGUGGAUGCACGGGGUGGUUAUAUCGGUCAUUGACAGACAAUAGAAUAAUAAAGUUGUAUGCUUUGCAUUCUUUUCUCAACGAUGCACUAUGCGGAUUUUUAACAAUAACUUUUAAUAAUAUGUACGUCACAUAGGAAGAAUCACCCCACCAUGAUUUCGAAUGAACGUAGAGGUCUUUUUUUGUGUGUCUUAAGUCAUGAAUGACGAAGAGGGAGAACAAAAGCUUAGGCGGCUCAAAGCAAUGUGCAUCCAGAGCUCUAUCCUGCUGGGCGUUAGCGGAUCGUAUUGCUGGCGAUGCGGUUCACGAGUGCGUCUAAAUUGUGUGUUGCUCAUGUGGCUCGACGGCGGGUGGACUGGUGGCGGGGUGGUUAUAUCGGUCAUUUACAGGAAAUAGAAUAAUCAGGUUGUGAAGAUGUAGUCUUUCGACAUGAAAAUUGGAGGAUCCGUUCGGAAGAGGAUCGUCCAGCAUGCAUGCAUGUCAUGCCUUGCUUGAGAGAGGAAGUGCUGCAUUGAAUUUCAACCCCAGAAAUGAUAAAUAACUUUUCCAGACGUGCAAAUUGAUUACGUAGGCAAGUGUUUGUUUCCCGAGCUGGAGAAUGUCAUAGAGUUGACGCGGUGGUGGGUUGCAGACCCAGUUUCCCCCCUAGUACAAGUUCAACUAUUGCAUAGCAAGCUGUAUCAGUGGUGGGGGAAGCAAGGUGCCUCACCAUUUGCGUAUGUAGUUGGUUUUUUUUAUGCAAUUCAAUUAAUCAUUUUUUAUGGUUGUUGAAACACCUAAUUUUGUUUAGUUGUUUACAUGAAGGGAGAACCCCUAGGUAGUGAAGCAAGGUGAUCCCCGGCUUGGAGCACCUUGGAGGAGAGUUACGACCAUUGUCGUCAAGGAGGUAGACAAAUCAUGGGGCACAAAAAGAUCCACUGGGAAGAGGUACCAAUGUACGGAUCCACGCGGGGCAGCAUCCAAACGCAGCAAGCCCCGGAGACAGGCGACAACACAACAAAGAAGGAUGUUUUGUGGUGUGGGGGAUAUCUAAGUGACGGAUCUGGUUGCUUUUCAAGAAGUACUCCCUCCCAUUUCCUUAUAGUUUGCAUAUAAGAUUUCGUCAAAGUAAAACAUUGUAAAGUUUGACUAGCUUCAUAGGAAAAGAUAUCAAAAUUCAAACUAUGUCAUCAAUACAUUUUGGAUGCAUGACGAAAUAAAUCUUAAUAUAUAACUUUAUUGUAGAUGUUAAUUUUUUUCUAUGCAAAUAGUCAUGUUACAUAAGUUUGACUUUGACCAAAUAUUAUAUGCAGGCUAAAAAGGAACAGAGGGAGUAUGUACCCUUCAUCGCUGAUGUUCGAGAUGUAAGGCAAAACACCACUAAAUUAUAUACGUAAUGGAGGGACAAAACCUAAACGCAUCCUUCUAUACGCCUGAUGGUACAUUGAGUCCAUUACCGUCGAUCUCCAUGAAGGGGGGGCGAAAGUGUUUGAGAGAGAACUAUAGGAGAAAAACACUAGUUAGCGUAGAAAGGCGAUGCCCGGCUUGGAGAACAUUUGAGGAGAGGAGAGCUACGACCAUUCACGUCAAUGAGGUAGAAAGAUCUCCGGGGAUAGAGAGAUCCACUGGGUGGACCUACCAAUAUGUAGAUCGGCAUUGGGGCACCAUGAAGGCGCAGUCAGCCCCAGGCGACAGAUAAUCAUCGACUAGGCAUUUGUUAUGUGUUUUGAUUUUUGAAGGUGUAGGUUUUAGUGGUGGAAAGUGGUUGGGAGAAAUCUUCAGGAAAAAACACUAGUUACAGAAGAAAGGUGAUGCCCAGAUUGGAGCACAUUCGAGGAGAGGAGAGAUACGACCAUUGGUGUUAAGGAGGUAGAGAGAUCAUCAGAGAUAGAGAUAUCCAAUUGAAAGAGAUAACAAUAUAGGCGCGCUGGGAAUAGGUACAGAUCAACGCUGGGGCACCAUCUAGAAGCAGUCAACACCGGAGACGGAUAAAUGUUGGGAUUGGAGGAUGUAGAUUUAGUUGAUCCAUGAGCCCUUGUAAAAUGGAGCAUGUUGUCUGCAGCAUAGUCGCCAACGCUACGAUUAUAACUUCAGUACCAAAGGUGUUUUUAGGUGUGCAGGAAAUUCUAUGAAUCUAACAUAAUGUGCGUGGUUCUCGCUAAGCAACAUGUGGUAAUAGGGGAUGGAGUUGCCGCUUGCUUUUGAAUUUUGUAGCAGUUGGUCGAUAUGAAAAUUGGAGGAUCCGUUCGGAAGAGGAUCGUCCAGCGUGCAUGCAUGUCAUGCCUUGCUUGAGAGAGUAAGUGCUGCAUGGAAUUUCAACGCCAGAAAUGAUAAAUAACUUUUCCAUAUGUGCAAAUUGAUUACAUAGGCAAGUGUUUGUUUCACGAGCUGGAGAAUGUCAUAGAGUUGACGCGGUGGUGGGUUGCAGACCCAGUUUCCCCCCUAGUACAAGUUCAACUAUUGCAUAGCAAGCUGUAUCAGUGGUGGGGGAAGCAAGGUGCCUCACCAUUUGCGGAUGUAGUUGGUUUUUUUAUGCAAUUCAAUUAAUCAUUUUUUAUGGUUGUUGAAACACCUGAUUUUGUUUAGUUGUUUACAUGAAGGGAGAACCCCUAGGUAGUGAAGCAAGGUGAUCCCCAGCUUGGAGCACCUUGGAGGAGAGUUACGACCAUUGCCGUCAAGGAGGUAGACAAAUCAUGGGGCACAAAAAGAUCCACUGGGAAGAGGUACCAAUGUACGGAUCCACGCGGGGCAGCAUCCAAACGCAACAAGCCCUGGAGACAGGCGACAACACAACGAAGAAGGAUGUUUUGUGGUGUGGGUGAUAUCUAAGUGACGGAUCUGGUUGCUUUUCAAGAAGUACUCCCUCCCGUUUCCUUAUAGUUUGCAUAUAAGAUUUCGUCAAAGUAAAACAUUGUAAAGCUUGACUAGCUUCAUAGGAAAAUAUAUCAAAAUUCAAACUAUGUCAUCAAUACAUUUUGGAUGCACAACGAAAUAAAUCUUAAUAUCAUAUAACUUUAGUGUAGAUAUUAAUUUUUUUCUAUGCAAAUAGUCAUGUUACAUAAGUUUGACUUUGACCAAAUAUUAUAUGGAGGCUAAAAAGGAAUGGAGGGAGUAUGUACCCUUCAUCGCUGAUGUUCGAGAUGUAAGGCAAAACACCACUAAAUUAUAUACGUAAUGGAGGGACAAAACCUAAACGCUUCCUUCUAUACGCCUGAUGGUACAUUGAGUCCAUUACUGUCGAUCUCCAUGAAGGGGGGCGAAAGUGUUUGAGAGAGAACUAUAGGAGAAAAACACUAGUUAGCAUAGAAAGGCGAUGCCCGGCUUGGAGAACAUUUGAGGAGAGGAGAGCUACGACCAUUCACGUCAAUGAGGUAGAAAGAUCUCCGGGGAUAGAGAGAUCCACUGGGUGGACCUACCGAUAUGUAGAUCGGCAUUGGGGCACCAUGAAGGCGCAGUCAGCCCCAGGCGACAGAUAAUCGUCGACUAGGCAUUUGUUAUGUGUUUUGAUUUUUGAAGGUGUAGGUUUUAGUGGUCGAAAGUGGUUGGGAGAAAUCUUCAGGAAAAAACACUAGUUAUAGAAGAAAGGUGAUGCCCAGAUUGGAGCACAUUCGAGGAGAGGAGAGAUACGACCAUUGGUGUUAAGGAGGUAGAGAGAUCAUCGGAGAUAGAGAUAUCCAAUUAAAAGAGAUAACAAUAUAGGCGCGCUGGGAAUAGGUACAGAUCAACGCUGGGGCACCAUCUGGAAGCAGUCAACACCGGAGACGGAUAAAUGUUGGGAUUGGAGGAUGUAGAUUUAGUUGAUCCAUGAGCCAUUGUAAAAUGGAGCAUGUUGUCCGCAGCAUAGACGCCAACGCUGCAAUUAUAACUUUAGUACCAAAGGUGUUUUUAGGUCUGCAGGAAAUUCUAUAAAUCUAACAUAAUGUGCGUGGUUCUCGCUAAGCAACAUGUGGUAAGAGGGGAGGGAGUUGCCGCUUGCUUUUGAAUUUUGUAGCGGUUGGUCGAUAUGAAAAUUGGAGGAUCCGUUCGGAAGAGGAUCGUCCAGCGUGCAUGCAUGUCAUGCCUUGCUUGAGAGAGUAAGUGCUGCAUGGAAUUUCAACGUCGUAAAUGACAAAUAACUUUUCCAUACGUGCAAAUUGAUUACGUAGGCAAGUGUUUGUUUCCCGAGCUGGAGAAUGUCAUAUAGUUGACGCGGUGGUGGGUUGCAGACCCAGGUUCCCCCCUAGUACAAGUUCAACUAUUGCAUAGCAAGCUGUAUCAGUGGUGGGGGAAGCAAGGUGCCUCACCAUUUGCGUAUGUAGUUGCAUUUUUUAUGCAAUUCAAUUAAUCAUUUUUUAUGGUUGUUGAAACACCUGAUUUUGUUUAGUUGUUUACAUGAAGGGAGAACCCCUAGGUAGUGAAGCAAGGUGAUCCCCGGCUUGGAGCACCAUGGAGGAGAGUUAUGCCCAUUGCCGUCAAGGAGGUAGACAAAUCAUGGGGCACAAAAAGAUCCACUGGGAAGAGGUACCAAUGUACGGAUCCACGUGGGGCAGCAUCCAAACGCAGCAAGCCCUGGAGACAGACGACAACACAACAAAGAAGGAUGUUUUGUGGUGUGGGGGAUAUCUAAGUGACGGAUCUGGUUUCUUUUCAAGAAGUACUCCCUCCCGUUUCCUUAUAGUUUGCAUAUAAGAUUUCGUCAAAGUAAAACAUUGUAAAGUUUGACUAGCUUCAUAGGAAAAUAUAUCAAAAUUCAAACUAUGUCAUCAAACAUGUGGUAGCGGUUGGUCGAUACAGCCAUGCCUUUUCUUGAAGAUUUCACCCUGCAAUUCAGCAAGUAUUGCAAGCAUGAUGCACGACUUUUUUGUACCACAUUUGGGGUGGUUUGUUUUGAUAAGAUCCCUUUUAGGUAUAUAUUAUUUGUCCUUUGGAAUAAAAAAGCUUUAACAUGUGCCAAACGAUUUUUUUUCUAAAGACGUACCAUGGUACGCGUGAUUUUUUUCAUUUUACUGUACCAAUCUAAUAAAUAUAUUUGUACUCAAUCCGUCUUAAAAUAAAUAUAUUUGUACUCUAGUACAAAGUUGAUAAUUUAUUUUGGGACGAACGAAAAAAACGUCACCCAGCCGGUUUUUUGCCAAAGUCGUGCAUGACAAGUUAACAUUGCGAGCUUGCCGGGACAUUCCUUUUGUCCAAAAUGCAUGGCGCUAGUACGACUGGCUGCUAUUUUUUUUGCUGGUACAAAGGACUACUUCGGGAACAUACCAUCUGAACCUUGGUGUACUACUAGCACAACUUGCUUGGUGCUGCUUGUGCCAGUAAGAGACUCCCGUACUGCAAGUGUGAUUUCACCAAUUCAACUAUGCGUAUCACGUGCGUUAUUCGUCGAUUUUACAACUAUGCAUGCCCGUCUAGCCGAAGACCAGUACGACUGCUUUUGGGUACUCCAAAAGAUGAUGCAUUGGGUAGCGGGUUAAAUAUUCAGGAUACCGUCUGGUUGCAGCAGACAUCCAGAUAAUAUGCUGUGCAAUAGUUGUUUAUUUUUAAUACUGAAGAUAGGUGACCACGUGCGACAUGGAUUGCAUGCAGACGGGCCUGUCGGCUGUGCGAAUAUAUUAAGAGAACCACAACCCGCCCAUCUAUCCACACAUACCACACUGCUUGGCAACCUACACUUCUCCUCCAUCGCGCCCUCCCUUUGCAUAUCGCUAAUAUGAGCCACUCAGCACCGCCCAGAGCUCCCCGCACCGGUGCGCCGCUCGGCUGCCCGUACUGCCCGGGGGACAUAUGCCAGAGAAGAGCCGACUACCUGGAGCAAUGCCACGCCUCCGAACUUGCUGAACCCCAAAAUUGUUGCUAGAAAAGCCACCGUGCACGUCCAAACCGUAUGAAGGACCAUUUUCGCGAUCAAUACGGUGCCCUCAAGAUCUGGAUUUUUGGAAUGUCUUGAUUCGGGUAGAGCCGCAAAGAUCCCAGAUGACGUCGCCAAGGAGGAAAACGAUGCCCACGGUGGCCAUCGCUCAAGGCCGGCGAGCACCGCCCUGGCUUUUUCACCCCGAGCAACCACUGCCACGCAGCCGGCCGAGUCCGGCGAGUACCUCCACUAGACCGCACACCUCCAACGGAGCGAGCACGCCAGUGCUAAUGAUGGCUGUGUUCUUAGAGGUUUUGGGGUUUUUUGGGUACUGGAUGUGGUUGCGGCGUCGAAGAGGUUGGCGUUUUACGUGGUCAUAAUGUCAUCUAAGCUUUUUUUUGGCGGGUGGAACAUGUAGAGUUGGUUGGUCAUGAUUAUGAAGACAUAAGCCGUAAGCCGUGUGCAUGUUGCCACUGCUAAACAGACAGGGAUCCUAUCGACCUACAACUAAACCCCUAUCGACAUGCUAAACAGACAGGGAGCCUAUCAACCGCACACAUGAUGAGGAAAUAUAACCAUCAACACUGGCACAAUGACUUAUGGAGAGUGAACCAUGCAGACCAUCAAUCGGUGCCGCUUCCAUGGUGACUACCACUAUAGGACACACCUUUUUGUCCAUCUCACAGUACACCAACAAUGAUGGGAAGAGCAGAAGUCACCUCCUUAUACUCACAAAAUGACAUCAUUCAGCAAGUUGGCGUCUAUGCCUCCCAACAAUUGAACCCAUCUAGGUCGACCGGGGGAGACACCACCCAAUGUUUGCAAAUGUCCGCGACCAAGCAAGCCCCAGACAUAGCCAACCAUAGCAUCUGCUAGUUACCUCUGUCUUUGCCUGCCACAAUGUUAUCGCAUUAACGCAAAAUGUGACAAUGUCGUCUGAGUACGAGAACCAUUUUAGAUCUGUGACAAUAACUACAUUGUAUCAAGUUACUUAGCUAGUCAGGUUCAUAAAGUACUCAUCCACAUAGCUUGUUGUGACGACAUUGCAUCCCAACACCGAUAUGCCGUCACACUCAGAUGUCCAGCAACAGCGCCUCAUACUAAUGAUAUAGCAAUCGCCGGAGCAUGCAAGUUUUUUUUCGACCCCUUAAAGGGGCGGCAAUGCUCGAUUUGUCACGAUUUUAUGGUAACCUCACACGUGUGGCAAGGAGGUUGGUGGAACUUUUAUUUGGUUUACAACCAUAGAGAAUUCCGUCAUAAUACACCAUUUUUUCUCCAUCACGUAUAAUUAUAUGUGUUUUGUAAACUCUUGAUUUUUUUUCAAAUUCUUACUGGUGUCAUUUUUUUCGUCAAUAAACUAUACACGUAGAAGAGGUAACACAAAUGGUUUUUUUAGAUGUUUUUUGAUUAUUGGGUCAAGCCACUAUGGAGUAUAGAGUGGGGGUGGCCCAACCACCGAUGCUAUAAAUAUAGCUUCCCCGAGAGCAGAGUCACACCCUCUAGCACUUCAUAGAAGAAUAGCCUGCCUUCGGAAGCCAGCAGAAGCAUGUCAUUCACACAGGAAGAACUGAGUGUUAGUAUCCGGACUCAUAUCAUCAUCCCUUUUACAUUUACGUUUCCAGUUUUGCUUUUUACAGUUUUUGUGUUGGUUUCUUGAACACUGGGCAGAUGAGGACCUGGCAGCAGCGUGGGACAAAAUUUACCUACCUUACGACGAGGUGGUGGGGAAGGACAACGAAAUGACUUCACACUACACGGUAUGUUCUUGUGUCUUUAUAAUAAAUAUUAUUUCCUUGCAAAUCAAUUUUUUUAUUUCGUUUAAAUUAAUACAACCAUUAUUUUAAUGUCGCUGUAGGCGCCUGAUUAUACACGGGAAAUUGAUGAUUGGUCAGAGGCGGACUUCUACACAUUAGAAUCGUUAGCGCGUGACCUCAAUAAUGUUCGAUCUUCUGAUUAGAUAUAGCCUGUGUGCUAAUGAGUUGGGAAAUCAAGACUAUCAUGUAAAUGGCAUCAUCGGUAUCAUUUUUGUACACGAACAAGUGUAUGAUAGUGUUGAAGAUGCUUGUGUGUCAACUUUCUUCGAUAAAUGGAUCGUUUAUCAUUAUGUGAAUAAGAUGUCUAUAUUUUUUGGAAACAAUAACUACUCGCAAAAAACACACAUUUUUUCCAAUAGUGCAUGUUUACUAUCAUAUGUUUACAAAAAAACAAGCAAUACGGCGAAGGAUGAACCAUAAAAAGAAUUUUUAUGGUGAGAGAUAAAUGAUACGGGUCAUGAGUCCGUGCAAACACGUCGAGAAGAAAUAUAAUUUUCAAUUUAAUUAAAAUGAAGGUGUAGAGCACACACUUGUGCAAAAAGCAAGUGAGUGACUACAAAAAUGGUCAACUGAAAAAUCCAAAGUGGACUGCUGGUUUAUAGGUUUCAAUCUAACCAUCGGAUCAAAAUCCAACGUCCAGGAACAUCUUCAACAUCGGUUCUCUUCUUCGUCACCGUAUCUUUCCCCUAGACGCCACCACGACGCGCCGGCACUAGUGGCGCACCCAUGCCGCCUAGCCGCUCAGCAUACACCGGAACCACCCCACCACACCGGUCUUCUUCCGCCCCCCACAACACGCCAAGCGGUUCAAGAUACAAUGUCGCGGAAAUCAUCUUCAACACCGGUUCUCUUCUUCGUCACCGAAUGUUUCAACUAGCCGCUACCACUGCCCGCAGGCAGAAGCGGUGCACCCAUGCCGCCUCGUCACGGAACCACCCCACACCACCGAUAAUAUUCCGCCCCCACCACGCGCCAUCAAGUAGAAAAAAUAUGAUUUUUGGAAAACAGUGCAUAACUACCAUAUGCUUAUGAGUACAACUCAAAAGCAGUUAAAUGUUAAGAAGGUGCGGACAGUGGCUAGAAAAUAGACAAUUAUAUAGGUUUCAAUCCCGGCCACUAGAUCAAGACCAAACGUCCAGGGCAUCAUCUUUCACCACGGUUCUCUUCUUCCUCACACGAUCUUUCCCCUAGCCGCCACCACGAACCACCGGCCCAUGCCGCUGACGGCUCCUUGGCCGCCAACAGCCCUCCUAGGAACACACAAACACAAACAGCCCCAACCCCACCCCACCCUAGCGAUUAAGUGUUAAGAAGGUGUGGACAGUGGUUAGAAAAUAGACAAUCUAAUAGGGUUCAAUCCCAGCCGCUGGACCAAAACCAAACGUCCAGGGCAUCAUCCUUCACCUCGGUUCUCUUAUUCCUCACCCGAUUUUUCCCCUAGCCGCCACCACAAACCGCCAGCCCAUGCCGCCGACGGCUCCCUGGCCGUCCACAGCCCUCCUAGGAACACACCAACCCAAAAAACCCCAACACGCCAGGCGGAUCAAGAUACAACGUCGAGGGGAUCAUCUUCAACACCGGUUCUCUUCUUCGUUACCGAAUGUUUCAACUAGCCGCUACCACUGCCCGUAGGCAGAAGCGGCGCACCCAUACCGCCGCAUCACCACGGAACCACCCCACACCACCGGGAAUAUUCCGCCCCCCACCACGCGCCGUCCAGUAGAAAAAAAUAUGAUUUUCUGGAAACAGUGCAUAACUACCAUAUGCUUACAACUACAACUCAAAAGCAGCUAAAUGACACGGGACAUGAGUCGGGACAAACACGUACAAAAUUUUUUUGCAGGUAAGUGUUAAGAACGUGUGGACAGUGGCUAGAAAACAAACAAUUUCAUAGGUUUCAAUCCCGACCACUAGAUCAAAACCAAACGUCCAGGGCAUCACCUUUCACCUCGGUUCUCUUCUUCCUCACCCGAUCUUUCCCCUAGCCGCCACCACGAACCACCGGCCCAUGCCACCGACGGCUCCCUGGCCGCCCACAGCCAUCCUAGGAACGCACCAGCCCAAACACCCCCAACCCCACCCACCCUUGCAAUUAAGUGUUAAGAUGGUGUGGACAGUNNNNNNNNNNACCCCACCCCACCCUAGCGAUUAAGUGUUUAGAAGGUGUGGACAGUGGUUAGAAAAUAGAUAAUCUAAUAUGGUUCAAUCCCAGCCGCUGGAUCAAAACCAAACGUCCAGGGCAUCAUCUUUCACCUCGGUUCUCUUCUUCCUCACACGAUUUUUCCCAUAGCCGCCACCACGAACCGCCGGCCCACGCCGCCGACGGCUCCCUGGCCGCCCACAGCCCUCCUAGGAACACACCAACCCAAACACCCCAACACGCCAGGCGGAUCAAGAUACAACGUCGAGGGGAUCAUCUUCAACACCGGUUCUCUUCUUUGUCACCGAAUGUUUCAACUAGCCGCUACCACUGCCCGUAGGCAGAAGCGGCGCACCCAUACCGCCUCGCCACGGAACCACCCCACACCAUCGGGAAUAUUCCGCCCCCCCACCAUGCGCCGUCCAGUAGAAAAAAAUAUGAUUUCUAGAAACAGUGCAUAACUACCAUAAUCUUGCAACUACAACUCAAAAGCAGCUAAAUGACACGGGACAUGAGUCGAGACAAACACGUACAAAAAAAAUUUGCAGGUAAGUGUUAAGAACGUGUGGACAGUGGCUAGAAAACAGACAAUUUCAUAGGUUUCAAUCCCAGCCACUAGAUCAAAACCAAACAUCCAGAGCAUCACCUUUCACCUCGGUUCUCUUCUUCCUCACCCGAUAUUUCCGCUAGCCGCCACCAUGAACCGCCGACCCAUGCCGCCGACGGCUCCCUGGCCGCCCACAACCCUCAUAGGAACACACCAACCCAAACACCCCCAACCCCACCCGCCCUUGAAUUAAGUGUUAAGAAGGUGUGGACAGUUGUUAGAAAAUAGACAAUUUUAUAGGUUUCAAUCCCACCACUAGAUCAAAAUCAAACGUCCAGGGCAUCAUCUUUCACCUCGGUUCUCUUCUGCCUCACCAGAUCUUCCCCCUAGCCGCCACCACGAACCGCCGGCCCAUGCAGCCGACGGCUCCCUGGCCACCCACAGCCCUCCUAGGAACACACAAACCCAAACAGCCCCAACCACACCUCCCCCCACCCCACAGAAUUAUGCCACACCAUGACAACCUAGGAAAUAAAAUAGAUAAUGGCGUAGCGGGCCCAUCAAGCUUCGUUCUACUUUUUGGUCAGUUUCUUCACUCACUAUGGUUUGUUUCUCCCUUCGAUCCAAUAACGACUGACCGAACUUCAGAUUUUUAAUCGACUAUCCCAACUUCAAAAUUCUUUUGACUCAAAAUGUAGCUAUUGCGAAUAUGGUAAUAAAGCAUGCACAAUUCUAAGUUUUUAUUGUGCUAGUUGAACCAGGAAUACUGUCGCGCAAAGUCUUCUUCUUAAAGUGUAUGAGGAAAAAAAAUCCCGUGUCAUUCAAAUAUAAUUAUACGAACACAUUCUAAACAUAAAAAUCCCGGUGUGUAUAGCUUGUUUGAAAACACUAAUUAAUGCUUACGAUUUAUAUGAAAAAAAAUCAACCGUAGAUGCUUCUUUUAUGUUCGAUAAAUUUUUCAUCCACUUUGCUAUCUAAAUCCUUGAAUUAUGGCUAAAAUAGACGGUCUACUUGUGAAAAUCGACAAUUUUUUAUCUUUAUCAUAUUAACAAUACUUCUACUUAAUGUCCAAAAUAGACAAUUUACUAAAUAUAGGCACAAUUUUUCACCCAGGGAUCCUUUACAACACGGUCAGAAACAUCUAAAGCAAAAAAAUAUUAUAAGUUGUGUACCUAUUUUCUUUUUUCAAUGGCACAAUUCUUUCAUCAAAGGGCUCAAAAGAGCCAAGAUGAUAUCUAUACAAACUUUCUAACUUCGGGUAAGUAUUUUGUCUGCCACAGUAGCACAUUUUUUUACAUCGUGAUUAAAAAAGUCAAACUAGUAUUUACAAAUCAAAUUUUAACCUUUUGGACAAGUUUUUCACUGCCUCAGCAACUGACAUUUUACAUUGGAUAAGUUUUUCCCUGCCACAGUACCGACCGUUCACAUCAUGGUGAAAAGAGGUAAGCUAGUAACUACAUACCGGCCACAGUACCAAAUUUAACUUUGGUUAACUAUUUUUCACUGCCACCGUAAUACGUUUCUUUACAUCAUGGUCAAAAGAACGAAGAUAGGUACUCAAUGUGCUAUUCGUACCUACAGGACUAGGAUUGGCUGUACCUGCUCAAGACGCCUGACGCAGCGCUUCAUCCAGUGCAACAACCACAGUAACCCAUUUUUUUACAUCGUGGUCAAAAAUACCAAUCUAGGUACUCAAUGUGCUAUUCGUACCUAGCGGACUAGGCUUUGGCGGUACAUGCUCAAGAAGCCUGACACAACGCUCCAUCCAGUGCAGCUAUUAUCCUAGCCUAUCGGCCAACGUUGGUUGCAAGCACAGUUAGUCAACACACAACACUACAUCCUGUGCGGCUCAUAUACUACCAUUUGACCACCGUGGGGUUGCGAGGACAGGUCAUGAUGAUGGUACGUGCCCGAUGCCCGCGUGCUGCACUGUGGCUCCUUCCUUCAGCAUUGGGAACGAAAUAACGACACACAUUUAAUGCGUUUGGCACAGCAGUCAAGUAUCUAAGGUGACAUCUGAAUCCAUCGUCCUGUCAAACGUUGCUUGGAAACGGAGCCCAAGGAUGAAAAGGCUUACUAGUACAUACGAACGAUAGAGCUUACCUAUUCCAAGCAUACAGCAUCUGUUAUGAGGGAGAGUUACAACACCUUGCUGCAAUAUAGGGCAUACUAGCUUGAAAAAAAACAAAAACAAUACUAGAAAAAUAUUUCUCGGUCAAUUCCUUGUAUUUACUAUCUCAAUGAUAAUAAGAAAAAAUAAGUUCUACAAAAAAAGAAAUUAUACACGUUUGAAUUUCUAUCGACUGUCAGGACUUCUUAAAUUUUUUAAAGGAAACAUACGAGUAGAAAUUCUUUUCUUCGCGCUGGUCAAAUACUAUAGAGUACUAUCAAUCAUUGUUUCAACAAUAAUAAUAAUGCAUGCAAUGCCCUGCUAAAAGAUACCCAACCAAUGCAUUCAUGGUAAGCCGGAUAUAGCUUUCCUUCUAGGGAAAAGAUUUGGCACUGAUAGCAACAAUUAAGUGUACGUAAAACGUGUAGUAGAAAAAGCAUCUUUUCAAGUAGUACAUGGGACCGUACCGCCUGUGGGCAGAAUGGAGUUGAAUCGACAGCCGUUCUAAUUUUUCCCCACAACCCUUUGUACACAACCUGUAUGAAUUGCGGGCCCGCAGAUGGGGGUGAGCGUAAAUGCCCACGCGAAAGCUGAACACAGCAGCUGCUAAUGCUGCUAUAAAUAGUAGACGUGAAUGCAAAAGGCAUGUCAGUUAUCCCACCGCAAGAGCAAUAGGAGCACACGUAGAGAUGCCUUCCCGUUCAUCCCUUAGGCUGGGUUCGCCAGAGAGCCAGGUGUCAGCAGCUGCUACUAGAGACAAAAACAAGCCAUCCAUCCAAUCCAGUUUUAGCUCAUUCAACUACCAUGCUGUAGUUAGCAAUUUUGGUAGUGCAGAGCGUAAGCUGCUUUGGAGAUACAAACUAGAUAAGCUGCUAGAUAUCCCUCCACACUAGGAGCAAAAAAGGCAAUUCACUGUCUUCGUGCUGUCUAGGAUAGAUGAGCACACUUGCGCCAUGGACGAUGGCCAUGGAAAUAGUGUCGUGAUGACCUGCGAAGAUGCCGUAGCAAUUCUUGGCAUUCCGAGCGGUCCCAUUGACCUAGCGGAGGCACCAGAUGUCGACGGUGUGGCAACCGCCACUUUGACGGUCGAGUCGGCGCGGGAUAACCUCGAGCGUCUCAUCGGCAAGGAGAAGAAUCAGGACGACGAGAAGGUCUUCAUCCAGUCAUUCCUCGCGUUUUGCUUUGGUAAGACCCACAUUCUUAACAAAGUACUAAACUUUUUUCUUUCUUUUUAGUUGUUGGAUCUGCUUCCACUUUUGAAUGUUGUGUUUAGAUCUCAUUGUUUGCCACCCUAGUUCAAUAGAACCAUAGAUUUUUGGCUAGUGAUGGCUCUGUCAUACGUUAUUCCUUUUAAGUAGUUUUUUUAUAAGGCAGAAUUUUUCAAUAUAGUGGCAUAUAGUUGGGUACAUAUGGCUUCGCAAUACGUCUUUCUCAUAAGAAAAUUUUAUCAUAGGCUAACAUAGUGCAAUAGAACAGUUUGCUAUUUUGAUUAACAGAAUACGCUUGUACAAAUCAACGAUUACACACGGGAUUCAUUUAUUUUUUAUUAAAAUAAUCAGACACACUUUCUUUAACUAGUGUGAUAACCCUACCCAAUAUUUACUUUUGAGUACGUACUGUGGGUCAAUGAAGGAUAUCAUUAGGGAUAUAGUUUUCAUACUUGUCCUAAACUUGUUUAGAUGUACCACCGCAUAUAAAUUGAAGCCCCUGUGUGGCAAAUAGAAAAACACAAAAUUAAGAACGACAAAAGGCCGGCAUGGGACACGGCAAGGCCAGCUCUUGAGGGAGAAAAAACUUAUACAUCAGCUAUGGCCUUGCCCACCUUACCGAACCAGGUGAAAGGUCGACAUGCGCCAUGGCCCGACAAACUGUUUAGCGAGAAAAAAAAUACUGAGCUAUGGCCCACCUAUCUGGUCAAUAUGCAGGGCGACAUGGGCCUUGGCCCGCCAGCUAAUAGGGGAGAAAGCAAUUUUAUAUAUUUUAUUUUAGCGGGGCUUCUAACUAAUAUAAAGUAGCCAUGAUGGCAUUCCCUCAAAAAAUAAUAUAGGGCACACAAGAACAAGUGAACUAAGGAACUGCAUGUCUAAUAGGAGUGCAUAGACAACAAUUUUUCUUGUUGCUUUUUAGGUUGAGCUAUGCUCAUAUCAUAUCUUUUUUCACUUAAAAAUAUCAUGAACGUAAGUGAUAUAAAGUUUCGAAAUCCUUUUUGAAGGCACAAUGUUUUCGGCCGUGUGCUAAUGUGGCCAUGACAUUACGGUAUCGAGAUCAAAUUAUCGCUUGGCCAAGAUGACCCAUUUAUAACAAUAUGAGAAAAUACAUUUGAAUACGUUGAUUGUCAUUCUUUACAAUAGUCAUCCCAAUUUUUUUGCUGAUACCUAUGUUAUUUCAAUGAAAAAAUUACAAACCUUUGAUUUUAUGUAAUCCCUUGCAGGUCUUGUCAUGUGUCCUGGUAAGAUUGAUAUACAAGUGGUUAGAGCCGCUGGGGACACUGAGCGCGUUUCACAAUACAACUGGGCCAAACAUGUUUUCAACUCCACGAUGGAUGAUGUGGCUACUGUGCAAAAAGCUAAACGCGAAGGCUUGACGAACAUCAAGUUAGAAUCAUGCCCAAUACUGUCGCAGGUUAGAUCUUGUAAAUACAUUGUUAUUUUCACACAUGGUCUGAUCCCAAAAAAAUGAUGUGUACAUAUCUUUUAUGAAAUAGGUUUUUUACCUUGACAAAAUAAUGGGACCACCCACACCUAUGCAAGCUUUGUAUGUCCCAAGAUCAAAAGCUUACAACAAUGACAAGCUUUUGGCGCAAAUAAGUCAUAUUACUAAAGUAGGAUCUUGGAGUUUGUAUGAGAAGUACAAUAUGAAAAAGGUUAUUUUUACUUCCCCCCAAUGGACCACACUGCAUUUUGUUGUAGGACUAAACAAACAAUUAACUGGACUUUAUUUUAUCUUUCUUUUUUCAGUUUGUGUUGCCGGCUGAAGAGGGUACGAAUGGGAGUGUUGCGCAUCAAGGAACACCAUGCUCACGAACAGCUGAUAAUAAGUCUCGCCCAGCUCAGUAUGGUGUAGGCGGUGUCUUUGUACCAUCAAACACAACGAGAGAUGCGUCUCAUGCACACGCACCAGUGCAAGCCCAAUCAUUUGCUCUUGCUAAUUACUCUUCUGAACAAGUAAGUGAGUAUAUUUUCAUUAUUCAGCCAACAUAGGUGCAUGGAUCUCAUUGUUUUUAUGUGCAUGUACACAUUUGGCAGCUGAACAAUUUGGUAAUCUCCUUGCAAAGCUUAAUGAAUGUGAUUGAGAAGAAGGAAAGUAUUGGGACAGAUGAUGCGUCUCUGCAAGCACAGUCAUUUUCUCAUGAUAAUUAUUCUCCUGAACAAGUAAGCAAAUAUAUUUUUCAUUAUCCAGCUUAAGAGCCAACAUAGGUGCAUGUCUCUCACUGUUUUUUAUGUGCAUUUACACCUUUGGCAGUUGAAGAAUCUGGUAACCUCCUUGCAAGGAUUAAUUAAGGUAAUCAAUGAAAAGGAUAAUAUUGGGACAGAUAGCCGCAAGCGCAGCAUAGAUAUGUCAAAGGGGAAAGAACAUGUAAUAGACGGAGAACAAGGCAGAUCAGGUGCCGAAGAACAGCAGACACCAACCGAAGGUGAAAUGUUCGCCACAACAAAAAUUUAUUUUGAUGCAUCAGGUUUUUGACUUUUUCGAUGAUAAAUUUUAAACCACAAUACAUAUUGUUCUCCAGGCAAAAAAGCUAAGCCUACAAUAGUAUUCCAGAGAAAGCCUAAAGUGGAGAGCGGGUCGAAAGAUGGGCAAGAAGGUAUGUGGAGUGUUUUUCAAAGCGAAUUUGAUGUCAAUAUUAAUUUAUGGAAUAACAAAAGUGCUAAAGAUAUAUCUCGUAUAUAUUUUGUCACUGUAGGAAACAUCUGCAAGUCGGUUCAGCAACAAGAGAAUCUUCUUGAUACUAUCAAGAAGGGGAUUGCUGACUUAACAAAAACCAGCGCAUUCAAAAUAUAUGAUGGUACCUGCAGCUCCAGCCAUAAAAGAAAUGAUAAAAGUAAUUAAACUUCUUGAUGUUUGGAAUAACUUCAGUUGUUUUUAUUACGAUUAAUUUAGUGGGAUCUUUCAAAAACUAAUGCUUAUCACUGAUAAUGUACAAACAUUUUUGUUUUAGGCCCCCCAAGAAUUGAAUUCCUCCGAGAGGUUAAAAAACAUGAUGCCACUACCGGUGCAGGAGGAUCAGUAGCAGCUCCUAACAUUCUUGAAAAUGUUGUUGAUGCACCUCCACUUGAUAUGGCUCCACCUAUCAUGGACAAUGACCCAGACCUCGAACAGUUUGUAGCUAACAUACCAUGUAAGAUAUAUUAGUGGUUGAGUAACAUAUUUUUUCAUUUCUACUAAUUUUCAAAGUAAAUAAAUGCUGAUAGACUUUUUUCUUUCCAAAAUGAAGCUCAUGUGCUCACUAUGAUAUCGAUGGCUGCGGCUGGGCAAAACAAUCUGAGCCAGAGAAUCUUUGACCACAUGCGCAAUGCACCUAUUGUGAACCCUGUUGGUGAGUGUUCUGGUGCUAUGCUAGAUUGUUAAUAAGUAAUUCUAAAAGAAGUUUUUAACUAUACUGACUUUUUAAUGUAUUAAUGAACAGCUCAACAUGUGGAAGCUGGUCCAUCGAACGCUAACGAAACGAUUGAACAGUCCCUUCAAAAUCAGCAGGUCCGUGAUGGGGUGGUAUACCGAUGGAUACUGUUCGCUGCUACAGACGAAUUCUUGACGAGGUACAUUUUUUCUUUUUGCAUGAAUUUCAUUUGGCAUUUCCCCUUUCAUGAAAGUUUGCAAAACAAACUCAUCAACUAAUCUGUGUCAUGCAGGAACUUUAUCUACAUCCCUGGACAAAUGCCAGUCAUUAUAACCGGGACUAGCCUGAAGAAGCGCUCUGCGGUGCAUUUGAGAAAGAUGUGAUGUCAGCUGUAGUUGUGUUGUUCAAUGAGGUUGACCGCAAGGCCUGUGAGCAUCUUUCUCGCUUGCGCAAUCGUCAUUUCCUUCCUCAAGAGUUCGUGGUAAGUACCUAAGAUAAUAUAUAAUUUGGUGUGGUCAAAACAAUUAACGAAUGAAACUUUCUUUUAGGACUUAUGCGAUCUUUACGGAGGAACUCCACCUCUCGAAGCCAUAGGGCACUUCUUCAGGGGGCCAAGUGUACCAUACAAGGUCCAAGACUGCAAAGAGGUAACUUGCUAUAUACUGACAAAAUGUACACAUUUUUUUUCUUUGCCUCAUUUUUUGAUAUAACUAAAACUGUGAAAAAUGUAGUCUUGCUCCAUAACAUUUCGUUUCCCAUGUCAGGUAGUUGUGGUACUACGUGACAAUCUCAAUUGGGUCUGCUACAUUUACAAUAUUAAGGCAACACAUACCACAGUGCAUGUGUACGACCCUGUGGUCAAUGGUGAUUUCCCCACCAUAUCCGUGGCCAACCACCAUCGUAGAGCUUAUGAUCUUUUCCAGGCACUGGGACACUGCAUGUCUGUUGUGCUAGGUGCAACUAUCCCUAGUGCACUGGGAUUUAACGUCAUCAAACACACUGGGGGUCCAGGAGCGAGGUUAGAUCUAACAAACAUUCAGUCUUAAUUAUCAUUUGUAAGUAAGAUCUUCAGGUUGCUGAAAUACUUCACUAUUUUUCUUAAAAAAACAGCCCAAACGAUGCGAUAUAUGUUGCAUAUGCCGCAAGGAACAUGACGAACAACCAAGCCAAACCUGUUCUGGAUGAGGUAUCAGAUUGUUUGUGCUGCUGCGAUUUUUGGUGUCCUAUGAAAUGUUUAUUCUUAAUCAAAUGCAUAAGCAGUGUUGUUGGAAAACUCAACUAUUUUGUAAUCAAAAUGUUUCAGGUGGACUUGCUUGAACAUAGGAAGCUGCUUGGAUACCUGCUCAUGACCAUGGAUUCCAACAUUCCGAAGAUCAACGGUGUCUAAGCAACAUUCUCAUGAAGACUAUCUAUCUUUUUCUCACUAGAAAUUCAUGUUUGCGACUGAGAGUUGAUGUAUGUCUAUGUACCCAUGUGUACCUAAAAGCCCUCACACACUGUGUGUGUUGUGGUCUGUCGGUGUUAGCGUCCGUAAUUCAGUAUGAGACUAUUUGUUGUGAGUCGUAAAAUGCACUUUUAUUUGUAUCUGCUGGUCUAUGAGACGGCUAAUGACUAUGUUAAGUGUUCGACAUCACUCACUACUUGUGUUCUACUUCUUCAUACAGUUUGUUAUCCGCAUGAAAUGUUGAUGAUUUGGAAACUUAAAU
rnacentral:lncRNA from 1 species